CGUUAUAACCGGCGAUUUCCGAAUGGGGAAACCCAGUGUGAUUCGUCACACUAUCAUUAACUGAAUCCAUAGGUUAAUGAGGCGAACCGGGGGAACUGAAACAUCUAAGUACCCCGAGGAAAAGAAAUCAACCGAGAUUCCCCCAGUAGCGGCGAGCGAACGGGGAGGAGCCCAGAGCCUGAAUCAGCAUGUGUGUUAGUGGAAGCGUCUGGAAAGGCGCGCGAUACAGGGUGACAGCCCCGUACACAAAAGCGCAUGUGCUGUGAGCUCGAUGAGUAGGGCGGGACACGUGGUAUCCUGUCUGAAUAUGGGGGGACCAUCCUCCAAGGCUAAAUACUCCUGACUGACCGAUAGUGAACCAGUACCGUGAGGGAAAGGCGAAAAGAACCCCGGCGAGGGGAGUGAAAAAGAACCUGAAACCGUGUACGUACAAGCAGUGGGAGCACCCUUUUGGGUGUGACUGCGUACCUUUUGUAUAAUGGGUCAGCGACUUAUAUUCUGUAGCAAGGUUAACCGAAUAGGGGAGCCGGAGGGAAACCGAGUCUUAAUUGGGCGUUAAGUUGCAGGGUAUAGACCCGAAACCCGGUGAUCUAGCCAUGGGCAGGUUGAAGGUUGGGUAACACUAACUGGAGGACCGAACCGACUAAUGUUGAAAAAUUAGCGGAUGACCUGUGGCUGGGGGUGAAAGGCCAAUCAAACCGGGAGAUAGCUGGUUCUCCCCGAAAGCUAUUUAGGUAGCGCCUCGUGAAUUCAUCUCCGGGGGUAGAGCACUGUUUCGGCUAGGGGGCCAUCCCGGCUUACCAACCCGAUGCAAACUGCGAAUACCGGAGAAUGUUAUCACGGGAGACACACGGCGGGUGCUAACGUCCGUCGUGAAGAGGGAAACAACCCAGACCGCCAGCUAAGGUCCCAAAGUCAUGGUUAAGUGGGAAACGAUGUGGGAAGGCCCAGACAGCCAGGAUGUUGGCUUAGAAGCAGCCAUCAUUUAAAGAAAGCGUAAUAGCUCACUGGUCGAGUCGGCCUGCGCGGAAGAUGUAACGGGGCUAAACCAUG
rnacentral:rRNA from 1 species